AGAGAGAGGGGUCGUCAACACCGUAGUCGAACUGGGGUGGUCGUCGGCAGCCUCGGGGUCUAUCGAAAAGAAGUAACGGAGGGGGAACACAAUAAAUAACAUAGCAAUCAAAGUAUCACAAAGCGUAGCAUGGCAAUACGUGGUGCUAGAGGUGACCUAACGCAGUAGGAGGUGAUACCGGGUGAAGGGGGAAACAUCCGGGAAAGUAUCCCCGGUGUUCUGUGUUUUCGGACAAAUGAACCGGAGGUGAAAUGUUGCAGGUUCACUAUGCUAGGGACGCGUGGCGGACGAACGGGCUGUGUAUCCGGAUUCGCUGGAUUUUUCUGACCAACUUUCAUGUAGAAAACAUUUUCAUCCGAGUUACCGAUCAUUUUAUAUUAAUUUUCAAAGUCUAAAUGAAUUUUAGGAAUUUUAAAAUAACUAAACCAAAUAAUUAGUAAAUGCUAUGGGUACAUAGAAGUGUACCCAACAUCUCUUACGGUGUGCAUUACACGUGGGUCCCCAGUGCUGAGUCAGCAGCUGACUCAGCCAACCUUAUCCACAUGAACAGUACAGGUGGGUCCCACAUGUAAGUGUCUCAUCCUUAUUAUUAUUUUUUUAUCCUAUUUCUUUUCUUUCUCUCUUUUUUUAUUUGACCCGGCCCCACUGGCCAGGGCACAGCCGGCCACAGGGGGAACUCUACGCACGCACGUAGCAGGAACGGCGCGGCCGGCGGCGAGCCACGGCGGGGCUCAGGCGGGGGAGGAUGGCGCUGCCCGGAGAGCCCAGGUAGGUUCGCGGGCGCGGCCAAGGGCGGUGGUAGGCGGUGACGGCCGCGCGGCCAGAGGGGAGCUGAGGGGCGCGCGCAACGGCAGCCACGGGGAGGCAGCGCGCGGUGUGGGGAUUGGUGCGGCCUUCGCGCCGGCGACUGCGAGCAGCUGGUGACGGCGGCCGGCGGGAGCUGGCGGCGCGUGGCCAGUGCGCGCCGGGCGAGAGAGGCGCGACCGACGAGCAGGGGGCAACACGCGACGGGCGCCGCGUCAACAGCAGAAGGAGCACGUACGCAGACGCUGUGCUGCGGCCAUGGCAGGCACCGGCUUGUACAGGCGACUACGGUGACGAAUCGAACGGGAGAUGAGGGGAAUCGGCAUGGGGCUCACAGCGGAGGUCGAUGGCGCGUUCGGGGAGGCACGAGAGCACAGAUCCACGAUGAGGCAGCGGUGAAGACCGACGGCCAAGACGAAGGCCACGGCGACGAGGGAGUGGCUCCCCUGCUCGAUCCAGCAGUGUAGUCAAAGGAGCAGAAGCCGACGGGGCCCGUGGACCUGCUGGCUUGACACGGGGAGGCUGUUGGCAACACGGGCGGCAAAGAAACGGCGACGGCAUGGGCGUCCAUGAGUGGAUCUGGAGGAGGGAAAAAACGAAAGGUAGAGGAAGGAGAAAGGAGUGGGUGAGUGCGGGGGUGGGAGAGGACCGAGGGG
rnacentral:lncRNA from 1 species